GAGACACCCCUAUGGAGCAGGACUUGCUUUAGUGGGACUUUGGUGCUUACUGAGUCUGCCCCUGAAUGUGUUGCU
rfam:Myotis lucifugus cont2.3687, whole genome shotgun sequence.